UUCGUGGCCGCCGAUACUGACGAGGAGUCCAUAGUGCAGGGAACCAGCCACCGCUUGCCAGGUCUUGAGAGGGCGGAGGGGACCUCGCUCGUGCGCCAGUGACAAGCGAUGGCUUUUCUACGUCGAAUCGGCUUUUGGGAGAUCUACGACCUUCAGCGCUGCCUCAUCACCCGUCCACUUGUUUACGGUCUUGAGAGGGCGGAGGGGACCUCGCUCGUGCGCCAGUGACAAGCGAUGGCUUUUCUACGUCGAAUCGGCUUUUGGGAGAUCUACGACCUUCAGCGCUGCCUCAUCACCCGUCCACUUGUUUACGAUGAGAGGGAAACGAGCGACGCGUCUGUGUCUCCCAAGGACCCGCCGUCCGUGCCCCCAAGGACCCCGCCGUGCCCCCCAAGGACCCCGCCGUGCCCCCCAAGGAC
rnacentral:lncRNA from 1 species